AGGUGAAUAGCUCAAUUAGGCAGAGCGCCUGUCUCCAAAACAGGAGGUUGUGGGUUCAAUUCCUGCUUCACCUGCUA
rnacentral:tRNA from 1 species